UGGGGCGUAGCUCAGCCGGUCAGAGCAAGGAGCUUUUACCUCCGAGGUCAAGGGUUCGAAUCCCUUCGCCCCAACCA
rnacentral:tRNA from 1 species